rnacentral:rRNA from 1 species
AGUCGAACGGCAGCACAGAGGAGCUUGCUCCUUGGGUGGCGAGUGGCGGACGGGUGAGGAAUACAUCGGAAUCUACUUUUUCGUGGGGGAUAACGUAGGGAAACUUACGCUAAUACCGCAUACGACCUACGGGUGAAAGCAGGGGACCUUCGGGCCUUGCGCGAUUGAAUGAGCCGAUGUCGGAUUAGCUAGUUGGCGGGGUAAAGGCCCACCAAGGCGACGAUCCGUAGCUGGUCUGAGAGGAUGAUCAGCCACACUGGAACUGAGACACGGUCCAGACUCCUACGGGAGGCAGCAGUGGGGAAUAUUGGACAAUGGGCGCAAGCCUGAUCCAGCCAUACCGCGUGGGUGAAGAAGGCCUUCGGGUUGUAAAGCCCUUUUGUUGGGAAAGAAAUCCAGCCGGCUAAUACCUGGUUGGGAUGACGGUACCCAAAGAAUAAGCACCGGCUAACUUC